AAAUGCCUACGAUGUACGUAGCUUGUGUAUGUCUUAAACCAAUGAGAGUAAUACGGAAGUUCAAUAUUAAAAUGUAGCCAUCAUGCCAUCUUUUUAAGAAGGAAGAUGAAAGCGUUUUUGAGAGCAUCCACCUGCGAGAGCGGGUUUAUGGACAUCUAGAGAGAACGGCAUAUGUGGGUCUUUC
rnacentral:other from 1 species